rnacentral:snRNA from 1 species
AGCUUUGCGCAGUGACAGUAUCAUAGCCAAUGAGGUUUAUCUGAGGCACGAUUAUUGCUAAUUGAAAAAUUUUCCCAAUACCCCGCGAUGACGACUUGACAUAUAGUCGGCAUUGGCAAUUUUUGACAGUCUUUAUGGAGA